rnacentral:rRNA from 1 species
UGGGGAAUAUUGCACAAUGGGCGCAAGCCUGAUGCAGCCAUGCCGCGUGUGUGAAGAAGGCCUUCGGGUUGUAAAGCACUUUCAGCGGGGAGGAAGGCGAUAAGGUUAAUAACCUUGUCGAUUGACGUUACCCGCAGAAGAGGCACCGGCUAACUCCGUGCCAGCAGCCGCGGUAAUACGGAGGGUGCAAGCGUUAAUCGGAAUUACUGGGCGUAAAGCGCACGCAGGCGGUUUGUUAAGUCAGAUGUGAAAUCCCCGGGCUCAACCUGGGAACUGCAUCUGAUACUGGCAAGCUUGAGUCUCGUAGAGGGGGGUAGAAUUCCAGGUGUAGCGAUGAAAUGCGUAGAGAUCUGGAGGAAUACCGGUGGCGAAGGCGGCCCCCUGGACGAAGACUGACGCUCAGGUGCGAAAGCGUGGGGAGCAAACAGG